AAAAAAAAAGUUGGGAUUUUUACAGUUUUCUAAUCUUAUUUUGAAAGUAGGCAAAAUUUGGUAUUCUUGAGUGCCAACAUAUUUAAAUCAAAUGCAAAAUGUUUAAUCGGAAAGUUUUUACAUCAGUGUAAUAUUGUGCUUUUGACAGUGAGAACACUCAGAACAAAAUUUAAAAAGAAAUCAAACUUUACCUCGAUAUUUCACAUUUCUGGCAACAAAGUCAACCAAAAAAUAAUGUAACUGGCAGCCUGUAACGAUCUGUCAUGUUUUGAAUUAAAAAAAGGAACAACGUUUUGUUGGUUUUGUUAAACAAAAAUUGCCGAGUCUUUUCAAUUAUUACUUUGAAACAGUCACAAACUAAAUCCAGAUGGAAGGAAGAGCCUCGAGGAGAGCACCCUCCGACACAAAAUUCAAACUGAACUCCAUGGCCUCUUGCGCUCAAGAGACUUCCAACGAAGGAAUACAGCAACUGGCUGACCGUCCCCAGCAUACCAAACCAGGAAAAACCUCGGGAAAAACUAAGGAAUCAAAGAGCAAAUGGCACAUGGCAGAAUCGAAAAGAUGAUAAGGAUCGUGUAUCGUCCGAAAAAGUAGAUAACCCAUCAGAUUAUGUGUGCUGCCCAGUUUCAUGCAGGAAUGAGUUAUGGGGCAUCUUGUCCGGAACAACCGCAAAGAUUAUGGUCAUGCGGAAGUAUGAUUGUAAGCGGAAGUGGGAGACUACAAACGGGCAAUGCUAGAUCGGAUCAGACUGUUGGUGCGACGAAAAUGACCGAGAGGAAACAGAUUGCUGGUACGUACGGAUUACAUGUAUCGGAGUACAGGAUCAAUGCGCAGCGAUUUGUGGCAAUGAUCUCCAGGAAGAGAGAGAAAAGAUGGCAUUCUACACACCUAAAAUGGGCUGAAACCAGACCAGUUUGCUGUCGUGCUGCCGCAAAUAAACGCUGUCCCCUGCUAGGAUUCGAGACGUUGAACCGAGUCAUCUCUAUAAAGGUCUUCUGGAAAGGAACUGAAUUUGCUACUGUGAACAAAUCCUACCGCAGGGACAAGGAAGCGUUGCACCUCGAUCCAGAUGUUUAUUCCGAGCAGUUUAUGCAAUGAAACCGAUGACGACGGCAACGACGACGCCACGAUGUGGGAGUACAGCUAUGAUUCGCCUAAAUAUCAAGAAACCGCAUUACGGAUUCUACACAUGUUACGAAAGAAUUACAUGCCACCGCGUUCUAUUCAUAUGUACGUACGUUGUCGAAAGUGCACACAGACGUGGUGUCCGAGCAGGGAACAAACACACGUAAAAAACUAGCGAAUAGAAUAAAAAUAAAAACGAUUUU